AUUUUUUUUCAAUAGUUUUAUAAUAAGGUAAAGAAGAACAAGUUUGUUUAUGUUUCUUGUCUAGCCAUAGUCCUCUUAGUGUAUUAUUGGUCCUGAGAGAUUCCAUCAGUACCAGUACUCCAUCAGUAUCAAUGUUAGUACCGUCGAGAGAAAGGAAAGAUAGUGUGUGGUUGUAGAGUAAAAGUUCAGCUAGUGACUGAGCACUGGUUGAAGUGAUGUCAGGAUUGUUAUGAAGAUAUAAGCCAGUAAUUGUUUUAUUAUUAAUUAAUGAUUGUGUUAGUGCACUGACUCCAUCAUCAUUGAUGGAGUCAUAGCUGAACCCUAGUGUCUCUAAUGAAGUAUUGUUUGUUAUUGUGUGAGACAGUGAGAGGAUGACAUCUUUCGUUAUUUUAGUGUUAAUUAUACCAAUCUCCUUUAUUGUUCUUAUGUCUAGUACUUGAGACUUCAUCAAGUAUACAAUAUCAGGUGAUGAGUGACGGAGGAAAGUGUUCUGAUGACUGUCUGUUAAUUGACUGAUCACUUCCUGACAUUGACCUGCUGAUGGUUUAGUGAGGGUUACACUAUAACUGGUCCACUCCACCUUUCCAGUCUCUUCUCCUAAUAAUAAAUAAUAAACACAGUGAUGCUGGUUUUUAUACCAGUAAGUCAUUACAGCUGCUAUGGAAUGGGUGUGGCCUAUUUUUUAUCAUGUGACAGGAAACAAAAAUCAAUUUCUCUUGUAAGGUGAAGGUCACUGUAGUACUUAUAAACUGAUUCAACCACAUGCAGUUAAA